rnacentral:rRNA from 1 species
UCUAAGUAUAAGCAAUUAUACCGCGAAACUGCGAAUGGCUCAUUAAAUCAGUUAUCGUUUAUUUGAUAGUUCCCUACUACUUGGAUAACCGUGGUAAUUCUAGAGCUAAUACAUGCUAAAAACCGCGACUUCGGAAGCGGUGUAUUUAUUAGAUUAAAGACCAAUGCCCUUCGGGGCUAACGGGUGAUUCAUAAUAACUUCUCGAAUCGCAUGGCCUUGCGCCGGCGAUGGUUCAUUCAAAUUUCUGCCCUAUCAACUUUCGACUUUAGUGUAGUGGACUAAAGUGGUUACAACGGGUAACGGAGGGUUAGGGCUCGACCCCGGAGAAGGAGCCUGAGAGACGGCUACUACAUCCAAGGAAGGCAGCAGGCGCGCAAAUUACCCAAUCCCGACACGGGGAGGUAGUGACAAUAAAUACUAGUACAGGGCUCUUUUGGGUCUUGUAACUGGAAUGAGUACAAUUUAAAUCUCUUAACGAGGAACAAUUGGAGGGCAAGUCUGGUGCCAGCAGCCGCGGUAAUUCCAGCUCCAAUAGCGUAUAUUAAAGUUGUUGUGGUUAAAAAGCUCGUAGUUGAACCUGGGCCUCGCGCAGACCGGUCCGCCUCACCGCGUGCACUGGUCCUGCCGGGGCUUUCACUAGGGGAUUCGCAUGUCCUUCACUGGGCGUGCGCGGAACCUGGACUUUUACUGUGAAAAAAUUAGAGUGUUCAAAGCAGGCCUAUGCUCGAAUACAUUAGCAUGGAAUAAUAGAAUAGGACGUGUGGUUCUAUUUUGUUGGUUAUGGGACCGCCGUAAUGAUUAAUAGGGACAGUCGGGGGCAUCAGUAUUCAAUUGUCAGAGGUGAAAUUCUUGGAUUUAUUGAAGACUAACUACUGCGAAAGCAUUUGCCAAGGAUGUUUUCAUUAAUCAGGAACGAAAGUUAGGGGAUCGAAGACGAUCAGAUACCGUCGUAGUCUUAACCAUAAACUAUGCCGACUAGGGAUCGGGCGAUGUUACUUUUUGACUCGCUCGGCACCUUACGAGAAAUCAAAGUCUGUGGGUUCCUGGGGGA